AGAGUUGGCUAGACAGUCGCUGUAGUUUCUACAGAGGAAAGUCCGGGCUCCAUCGGGCAAAGUGCCAGGUAAUGCCUGGGAGGUGUAAGCCUACGGAAAGUGCCACAGAAAAUAUACCGCCUUAGUGAAAUUAUAUACUCACAGCAAUUGGAUGUUUGGCAAGUGCCGCGUUCGUGCAGUCAACAUGUAUAUCCAAAAUACAUGAGCAUUGCGAGUUGAGCGGCAACACAGCCAAAAACUCAAGUGUGAAGAGUAUAGACUGGGUAAGGGUGAAAAGGUGUGGUAAAAGCGCACCGCAUCAUUGGUAACAGUGAUGGCAGGGCAAACCCCACUUGGAGCAAGACCAAAUAGGAACCUUUUAGGCGUGGCCCACGCUAGGUUCGGGUAGGUCGCUUGAGAUGUAUGGUGACGUAUAUCCUAGAUGAAUGACUGUCCACGACAGAACCCGGCUUAUCGGCUAACUCUCUUU
rnacentral:RNase_P_RNA from 1 species